rnacentral:rRNA from 1 species
UACGAAGGGGGCUAGCGUUGCUCGGAAUCACUGGGCGUAAAGCGCACGUAGGCGGAUUGCUAAGUCAGGGGUGAAAUCCUGGAGCUCAACUCCAGAACUGCCUUUGAUCCUGGCGACCUUGAGUCCGGGAGAGGUGAGUGGAACUGCGAGUGUAGAGGUGAAAUUCGUAGAUAUUCGCAAGAACACCAGUGGCGAAGGCGGCUCACUGGCCCGGUACUGACGCUGAGGUGCGAAAGCGUGGGGAGCAAACAGG